CCUGCCCCUGGAAGCAUUGUAGGUGUGGCUGCUGUGUCACACGUGUGUCAGUAGAUGGCAGAGAGGAGAGGCUACAUCUACACUCAGUGUUCUGACCUAGGAACAUCUGAGUUGAUUAGUGGCCUAACAUU